rnacentral:rRNA from 1 species
AUUGAACGCUGGCGGCAGGCCUAACACAUGCAAGUCGAACGAGUGGCGGACGGGUGAGUAAUGUCUGGGAAACUGCCUGAUGGAGGGGGAUAACUACUGGAAACGGUAGCUAAUACCGCAUACCAUCAGAUGUGCCCAGAUGGGAUUAGCUUGUUGGGGGGGUAACGGCUCACCAAGGCGACGAUCCCUAGCUGGUCUGAGAGGAUGACCAGCCACACUGGAACUGAGACCGGGCCCAGACGCCGACGGGAGGCAGCAGUGGGGAAGAUUGCACAAUGGGCGAAAGCAUGAUGCAGCAAUGACGCGUGUAUGAAGAAGGCCUUCGGGUUGUAAAGUACUUUCAGCGGGGAGGCGUUACCCGCAGAAGAAGCACCGGCUAACUCCGUGCCAGCAGCCGCGGUAAUAC